GGUUGUAUCUCAAUGGCAGAGCGCUUGCCCCACACACGAGAGGCUCUGGGUUCAAUCCUCAGCACCA
rnacentral:tRNA from 1 species